UGGAUCCAGACUUUGAUUCUGGCUCAGGAUGAACGCUAGCUACAGGCUUAACACAUGCAAGUCGAGGGGAAACGAUAUUGGAAGCUUGCUUCCGAUAGGCGUCGACCGGCGCACGGGUGAGUAACGCGUAUCCAACCUGCCCAUCACUUGGGGAUAACCUUGCGAAAGUAAGACUAAUACCCAAUGAUAUCUCUAGAAGACAUCUGAAGGAGAUUAAAGAUUUAUCGGUGAUGGAUGGGGAUGCGUCUGAUUAGCUUGUUGGCGGGGUAACGGCCCACCAAGGCAACGAUCAGUAGGGGUUCUGAGGGGAAGGUCCCCCACAUUGGAACUGAGACACGGUCCAAACUCCUACGGGAGGCAGCAGUGAGGAAUAUUGGUCAAUGGACGAGAGUCUGAACCAGCCAAGUAGCAUGCAGGAUGACGGCCCUAUGGGUUGUAAACUGCUUUUAUAAGGGAAUAAAGUGGGAGUCGUGACUCUUUUUGCAUGUACCUUAUGAAUAGGGACCGGCUAAUUCCGUGCCAGCAGCCGCGGUAAUACGGAAGGUCCGGGCGUUAUCCGGAUUUAUUGGGUUUAAAGGGAGCGUAGGCCGGAGAUUAAGCGUGUUGUGAAAUGUAGAUGCUCAACACCUGCACUGCAGCGCGAACUGGUUUCCUUGAGUACGCACAAAGUGGGCGGAAUUCGUGGUGUAGCGGUGAAAUGCUUAGAUAUCACGAAGAACUCCGAUUGCGAAGGCAGCUCACUGGAGCGCAACUGACGCUGAAGCUCGAAAGUGCGGGUAUCGAACAGGAUUAGAUACCCUGGUAGUCCGCGCGGUAAACGAUGGAUGCCCGCCGUUGGUCUGAAUAGGUCAGCGGCCAAGCGAAAGCAUUAAGCAUCCCACCUGGGGAGUACGCCGGCAACGGUGCAACUCAAAUGAAUUGACGGA
rnacentral:rRNA from 2 species